CCUUUUCAAUUUCGGCAAAGUCGGGUUGUGUUUAUUCGAAAAUCAAGAUGGUCGAAGCAGUUUUGAUCUGUUUUUACAGACUGCAUCAUAAGUUUUUGUGCAACUUUUAUAUGAUUAGAUGACCAUACUGGGAUCAAUCUUUCAAAUUAAAAUGUAAUUUUUCGACAUCGGAAAAAUAAAAAAAAUCUAUGCAACCACGUGGUCGAAAUGGACCGGUAUCAACAUGGCGAGCUGCUUAUAUGGUUUCCUAGGGAAAAAGGAAAAGUGCAUUCUUUACUUAGGAUUUAGGAUUUUCCUUGGCCUAAUGUUCAAUUGAGGUUAAGCCGAAAUUUAGAAGCCGAUUCAAUAUGAUACUUUGAAAACCUGCCCACGUGACUUAUUUAGGGACUGUGAACAUGUUGAUUUUAAAAGAUAAAGUAGACUUCAACGAGCGUGUUGCUUUGAUAUCUGGAACUAGCUUUACGUUGAAUUUACGGAUGACGGUGUGUAUGGGUUCUUUUUAAUCUGGAUAAAUAAUGCAAGGCCGCAAGAAUUUGCUGCUAAAUUCAUGUAAAAUGUCGGGCUUUGAAUCAACCUUGACGUCUGAUUCCGGUAGUGCUAUCUUUAAUUCGUAUUGGGGAAACUGAAAGCACAAUAUUGAUGGAUAGUUUCCGUUCGACAAUUGAACAUAUGGAUAAACGAGCAUUGCUGUAUGAUGAAUUGAUGUAAUGUUCGAGUAACUAACUCGUUAAAUAAAGAAUGAAAAACCAACAAA